rnacentral:lncRNA from 1 species
CUUUGUCUUUUUCUUUUAUUUUCUUUUGAGCGAUUGUGCGAACAUAGCAUAGCACGCACUAUGCCUUCUGUGUUGUAGCUGCCUGGCCAGGGCGACUGGCGGAUAAGGUCUUGUGCGUGGCCUCGAGGCUUAAAAGUAGCAGUGGGGCUUUGUGAAGGACAAAAUGGCGAUGGCGGGCCGUGUAGGUCCCCCUUCCUAUGAUGAGGACCUUUUCACAGACCUGUACUGAGCUCCGUGAGGAUAAAUAACUCUGAGGAGAUGGGCCCUGCAAGCCUCUUGCUUAGCCGUCUGUUCAGAAAAUAGCGUUUUCGAAAUGCCCUGAGUUGACCUAAUGUCUUAUUGGGCUCCUGUCUGCAGGAUUUACGCGCACGUUGGAACCGAAGAGAGCUCUGUUGUUGCAAUGUUCAGCCCACAAGAGCUUACUGGUGAAGGAAUGGGACAAGACCCAUCUUUAUGCAAAGCCAGCGUUACAGUAAUGUUCCAGGUAGGUGUACAUGGUUUAUGCUCUUACAGAGGAGACCUUGUAGAUAACCACUCCAUGAUGAACACAAAAUGACAAGCAUAUGGCUGAACUUUCAAGUGAUGUCAUCUUACUACUGAGAAGUGAGAGAGAGGUCUUAAGGGGUCUUUGAAUGACUAUUUUUAGGUACAUAAAAUGCUUUCCUCUGUUGUCUACAGCAUCUCAUAAUCUAUCCUGGGGAAUUCAGCUGCCUCCCAGGGUGAAUACAGGUAAUUAUCCAAAUUGGUGUAUGUCAUCUUUGUAAAUGUUCAAGAAAACAAGUGGCCGGCGGAACAAUGUUUUUUGGCGCCUUCCAUCUUGUUCCUCUUGAAAUGAUUUUCUGGGGAGGGAGAUCGCAACCCGGUACUACAGUUCUUGUAAGGGUGUGCUGUUACCCUCAUCCAUAUAUCGAUCACGUUACUGUCAGAUGAUUUGAAUUGAUAAGCUGAUGUUCUGUGAGGUACAAAAGUUAAUAGCAUGUUAGAGUUCUGAUGGCAGUUGUUGUUUAUGAAUAAGCUUCAUUCCAUCCUAAUACCUUAAAAUAACUAAUUUGCUUUCCUUUCCAGGUAUUCCUGAUGACAGUCUGCCUCUAUCUUACAGUAAGUUGUUUUUCGAAUUCUAUGGGCCUAUUAUCUAAUAGAUAACUUAGCCAUUUUGAUAUUUGUUACCAAAGCCUGCUUAACCCAUAAAGUUUUCUGGUUCCUCUUGUUCUCUGUAGUGAUGUUUCUAGAUAGAUGCCCACUGAUAUAUGCCCCUUUUUUCUCAGAUAGAUGCCCACUGAUCUGCCCAGGGUCAGACGAAUGCUUGUCAGUUGUAGCUUUCCAGGAUUCUGCUCCAAUGAGGAGGAAACAUCCUGCCUUACCCCUGUUUUAGCCUGGGAACCAGUAAUUGUGAACUCACCAGGGUUAACAUGAAGAGGGCAUGAGAGCUUAUUCCAUAAGGAAUUGUCUGAGACAUUUGGUUACCUUUUCUUAGUUUGUCCAUUAGCAACCGUAACUAAAAUAGUUUUGGCUGUUUGGGAUAAUUAGCUAAUUGAAUGAUUUUUUGAUUCAGGAGCAGCUUGUUGCUAUAUACCAUUGAAAAGCCUUCAGAGCUGAGAGGUUAGUUGAUAUUUUUUGUUCCUUACAGCUUAUGCCACCAAGUAGGCAGUUUCUAUGAUGAAUCAAACUAGCUCACUAUGACCGACAGUGAAAAUACAUGAACACCUGAGAAACUGGAGAACGCAGGGAGUGGGGGGUAACCAUGUCUGAGGAAUCUUUCACCCACAGCUUUGUUUUUCUCUAGGUACUACUAACCAAUAACCUGCUUGGCUCAAAGGUGAGUAAUUUCACGGUAUUCAAUGCACUCAGUAUAUAGGGUAGGAAAAAGUGCCUUUUUAGGCCUGUGUUUGUGAUGACUUACAUGGAAUCUCGUUCGGCUGAUGACUUGCUGUUGAGACUCUGAAAUCUGAUUUUCUGAGAAUGAUGGGUGGGAACAACAUAAUGCGGGAUAUGAGAAGCACUACUGACUUGGUCUUCCUCCUUUCAGGGCCAGCACCUUCUCUCUAAAGCCCAAGAGGAGUUUGAGGAAAACUAGGUGUCUGUGUUCACUCCAGGCUGAAGUUACAGGUCUGAGCAAAUAAGGUGUAUAAAAAAUGGAAUCUGUCUUGGAGGACAUCAGAAGGUGAAUUUUCCAAGUUCUUGGACAACCUAGCUGUUGAAAAGCUUUCUGGGUUUGGGGGGUAUUUCAGAUGUACCUUAAAGUGUUAGCAGACACAGAUUAAGACACUGGGAGCCAAUGAAACAGCAGUUGAGGGUUUGCUGUGUAUCACAUUUCUGUAUUUUAUCACCCCCUUCCUGCAACAUUAUUUAUCUGGAAUCUACCUGCCCUUUUGUUUUUUAGAUACAAGGGCUUGGUUUUGUUACCCAGGCUGGUUUCAAGGCCAUAGCUUUAAGAGAUCCUCUCACCACAGAUUUCCAAAGUGCUGGGAUUGCAGGUGUGAUUCAUGGCACCCAGACUUUGCUGCCUUUCUUACAUGAUCCAGGCCCAGAACCCAAACUCAGGCACUGUAUAGAUGACCACUUUCGUAAACUACUGACCUAGCUUGUUGCCAAUUGUUGAUUGAACUUCCCAUAACUCCACUUCGUGUCUGUUCCUCUGUAUACAGCCACCUUCUGUUCCCGUCAUGAGCCUUUAGGUCUCCAUUUGCAUAUUGCAAAUACUAUGUUCCAUGUAGGUAGCUCAUUCAGGGCCUUGCUCUUCACUUCAAAAAAGGUUCCCUUGAGGACUGGCUGUCAAUUUGUGUUGCUGUGUUGGUUGUUGAUGAAAAUAAUA